GAUGAACGCUGGCGGCGUGCCUAAUACAUGCAAGUCGAGCGAACAGAUGAGGAGCUUGCUCCUCUGACGUUAGCGGCGGACGGGUGAGUAACACGUGGAUAACCUACCUAUAAGACUGGGAUAACUACGGGAAACCGGAGCUAAUACCGGAUAAUAUAUUGAACCGCAUGGUUCAAUAGUGAAAGACGGUUUUGCUGUCACUUAUAGAUGGAUCCGCGCCGCAUUAGCUAGUUGGUAAGGUAACGGCUUACCAAGGCAACGAUGCGUAGCCGACCUGAGAGGGUGGUCGGCCACCCUGGAACUGAGACACGGUCCAGACUCCUACGGGAGGCAGCAGUAGGGAAUCUUCCGCAAUGGGCGAAAGCCUGACAGAGCAACGCCGCGUGAGUGAUGAAGGUCUUCGGAUCGUAAAACUCUGUUAUUAGGGAAGAACAAAUGUGUAAGUAACUAUGCACGUCUUGACGGUACCUAAUCAGAAAGCCACGGCUAACUACGUG
rnacentral:rRNA from 1 species